rnacentral:rRNA from 1 species
CGACUAAGCGUACACGGUGGAUGCCCUGGCAGUCAGAGGCGAUGAAGGACGUGCUAAUCUGCGAAAAGCGUCGGUAAGGUGAUAUGAACCGUUAUAACCGGCGAUGUCCGAAUGGGGAAACCCAGUGCAAUUCGUUGCACUAUCGUUAACUGAAUACAUAGGUUAACGAGGCGAACCGGGGGAACUGAAACAUCUAAGUACCCCGAGGAAAAGAAAUCAACCGAGAUUCCCCCAGUAGCGGCGAGCGAACGGGGAG